CAACAAUGGCACUCAAAUUCUCUCAUUUUCUCAUGCCCUCUCUGUCACAUUCGUAGCUCGAUCUCCUUCUUCUGGGACUUAGCGUUCUGAGCAUGCGGUUUUUGCAACGGCCAUUUCGUGCCGCUUCGAUCUCAUCACCUUCUCUCCCCUCCCACCCCCCUUUUUGAUCCACACUUCGGGGCUUGCAAAUUUUUGACAUGUCAAAUGAGAGUGAAGCCAAAAUGUAAACAGCAAGUUUUUGCGUGUGCGGCGAUCUUAUUAAACAUAAAACUAACCACGACAGUAUUAUUUAGUUGUGGUGGAAGCCAAAAAAAUAGCUUGGAGCAUUCAAUAAAGCAGGAUGAAAUUUUUAACCUUCAAGCACGACGCUGACGCUGAGGUAAGGUGUGCUUGUGUUUAAUUUCGAUGAUUGUUUCAUUUUAGGAUGUGAUUUGUGCCAUAUAACCUUUUCUGACGGGGAUUAUUUAGUCGACAUCGUCUGCAGCUGUUAAGCGGUGCAGAGGAAGGGGCUCGCUACGACCCUUCCCACACCCGGACGCUUUUUCCGGGGAUGAAGGAAAUGUUCCCGGUUAUAUGCGCAAAAUCUAACGGUAACCCGUGUUGUGAACGAAUCGGCAUAUGCAGUGCCGGACACUGUGGAAAUUGUACACAACGGGACGAUGUCCAGGCACGACACAAGAGUACGAUUACAUGCAACUGAUCUGCUCAGCGUGCCACCUGAUGCUGGCGUUCGGCAAGACACAGAAGGAAAGGAUUUCGACGUGUGGAACAAGGAUGUGCUGAAUGCGUUUCUGAUCGAUAUCACGUGGAUCAUUCUACUGCGACUAUAAGGGAUACUUGCUGGAUUGUAUUCGUGACAGGGCCGGCCAGAAGGGUGUGGGCAAGUUGACGGAAAUUGUCGCAAUGUACCAUAGCGUUCCGGUGAUGCCAAAAGACGAAGCAGACUUCUCCAGCUACUUAUCCACGCCGAAGGAUGAA